rnacentral:lncRNA from 1 species
AUGACAGCCCAUAAGACAUGUUUACUGUCCACCCAUAAGACAUGUGUACUGUCCACCCAUAAGACAUGCGUACUGUCCACCCAUAAGACAUGUGUACUGUCCACCCAUAAGACAUGUGUACUGUCCACCCAUAAGACAUGCGUACUGUCCACCCAUAAGACAUGUUUACUGUCCACCCAUAAGACAUGUUUACUGUCCACCCAUAAGACAUGUUUACUGUCCACCCAUAAGACAUGUUUACUGUCCACCCAUAAGACAUGUGUACUGUCCACCCAUAAGACAUGUUUACUGUCCACCCAUAAGACAUGUUUACUGUCCACCCAUAAGACAUGUUUACUGUCCACCCAUAAGACAUGCGUACUGUCCACCCAUAAGACAUGUGUACUGUCCACCCAUAAGACAUGUUUACUGUCCACCCAUAAGACAUGUUUACUGUCCACCCAUAAGACAUGCGUACUGUCCACCCAUAAGACAUGUGUACUGUCCACCCAUAAGACAUGUUUACUGUCCACCCAUAAGACAUGCGUACUGUCCACCCAUAAGACAUGUUUACUGUCCACCCAUAAGACAUGUUUACUGUCCACCCAUAAGACAUGCGUACUGUCCACCCAUAAGACAUGCGUACUGUCCACCCAUAAGACAUGUUUACUGUCCACCCAUAAGACAUGUUUACUGUCCACCCAUAAGACAUGUGUACUGUCCACCCAUAAGACAUGUUUACUGUCCACCCAUAAGACAUGUUUACUGUCCACCCAUAAGACAUGUUUACUGUCCACCCAUAAGACAUGUUUACUGUCCACCCAUAAGACAUGCGUACUGUCCACCCAUAAGACAUGUUUACUGUCCACCCAUAAGACAUGUGUACUGUCCACCCAUAAGACAUGUUUACUGUCCACCCAUAAGACAUGUGUACUGUCCACCCAUAAGACAUGUUUACUGUCCACCCAUAAGACAUGUUUACUGUCCACCCAUAAGACAUGCGUACUGUCCACCCAUAAGACAUGUUUACUGUCCACCCAUAAGACAUGUGUACUGUCCACCCAUAAGACAUGUGUACUGUCCACCCAUAAGACAUGUUUACUGUCCACCCAUAAGACAUGUUUACUGUCCACCCAUAAGACAUGUGUACUGUCCACCCAUAAGACAUGUUUACUGUCCACCCAUAAGACAUGUGUACUGUCCACCCAUAAGACAUGUUUACUGUCCACCCAUAAGACAUGUGUACUGUCCACCCAUAAGACAUGUUUACUGUCCACCCAUAAGACAUGUUUACUGUCCACCCAUAAGACAUGUUUACUGUCCACCCAUAAGACAUGCGUACUGUCCACCCAUAAGACAUGUUUACUGUCCACCCAUAAGGCAUGUGUACUGUCCACCCAUAAGACAUGUUUACUGUCCACCCAUAAGACAUGUUUACUGUCCACCCAUAAGACAUGCGUACUGUCCAGGGUUAUGCGGAGAGUGGAGCUGUGUUGA